rnacentral:lncRNA from 10 species
GUCACAACCUUCUGGGAAGAACUUAUUCUUAAACAAGUCUUAAAAGUGCCAGUCUUCAAAACCACCUGUCAACACAGGUUUGCCAAUAUCAGAUAGUUAAGGAGCAAAUGUUUUUGAAAACAGCAGCUGCCAAGCAUUUCUGAAGGAAGUGCCGAGUGUUUUGACGAGUGCCGAGUAAGAACUACUCUUCCCUAGACAUGUAAAUAUCUAAAUUAUCUGUGGCAACAACUUGGUGGGGUCAACUCGAAUGUUUUUGUCGGCUGUUCUUGAAGACUUCUGGGUCUCUACAACCACAUUCUUUGGCUGGUGCCAGUGUUUAAGCACUCUGAAACUGCAUAGCAGCAUGUUUGAAGGUGGCCUGUCAAAUUUGGGAAACUGACGGUGUGACUGAGCUAGUCACAGGGGUCUUCACAGAAAAGGCAGUCGGGGUCCUGGUCAACUGGAGAUUCCAUCUGAAUGAGUGAAGUCAUUAAGACUAGAGCUCCAGGCUUCUUCAUCCAACUCCAAGGGUUCCCAGCAACAUGUGAAGUCCUCUAUCUGUCACUAAGAAGCCGUGUGAGUGAAGCAGGCUAUAUACCUUGGUUUCAACAUCUGUGAACAAGGUGUAAUGAUGGUUUUCUCAUCUUUUUUUAGGAUCGUUAUAAGAAUCUGAGACAGUGAGAGGGAAAAGAUUGUUUUCCAUUCAUUAGCUCAGGCUGGGCAUUGGAGGCAUCUCCUCUGAGCACCUGCUAAAACAGCACUGGCAAGUCACUCUUUGGAGCCAUUUCUGGAAAGAGGUUCUAUACAAAUAAAAUUAGAAAAGUCUGAAUUUAGCAUAUGAGAAAUGUUAUGGCCAUUGGUACCUAUCACUCUAAACACCAUUCUGCUUAUUCUUGUCAUGUAGGGGCAUUUGAUUUUUAAUCUAUCCACUUAAAUAUUGGCUGCUUCUAUAGACUUCCCAACCAGCAGUCCUUGUGCAGGCAAAACUCCCAUUUAACUGAAUGAAAGUAUUAAACAUAAAAUAUUGUUAGGAAGAGUCUGAUAUUGUAUUUAUCUUGCUGAUAAUUAUCUUACAUGUUUUAAUUACUCCCAGUAGUGUCCCAAGGCUGAUUAAAGGAAAAAUAUAAUUUACUCAUCGAAAUAAGAUAUUAUACAAGUAUCAAAUGAUAUUGAUAAAUAUUAAACAAUAAACUUUCCUAGAAUUCUUUCCCUAAAAAAUUGGGGACCUUAUACUUCACUAGUUAUAUAUUUCAGAGCAAGCUGGUUUAUAACAGAAUGAUAAAGGUGAUUAGAAUGAAAGAGAGGCCAUUUGGAUUGAUUCAGUUUUGCUACAUUUAUUAUAAUUUACAAUACUUUGCCAUAAAAAUAAAAUAGUUACCCAACCUCAGAUUACUGUCUUUAUAUUGUGGUUGAUUUUAUAAUUGCUGACCUUUAUCCCAUAGAUUUUUCAGGGUUAGUUAUUACUGGUUUUUACCUGAGAGAUUUGGGGGAGUUGUGUUUAUCGCUCAAAUAUCCAAUCUAAAUUUGGUUCUCUUAUAGCAAUGGAUGGAUGACUCACCUCUCAUAGGAAUGAUAGAACUUGGAUCAUCUUGUCAAUCACAGAGCUUGGUGGCCUUCUACAAAUGUUUGUGGAAUGAAUAAGUGAGAGAAUGAGAGAUUAAUAAAGCCAAUACUAUCACCAGUCCAACGAAGAGCUGCAACUGAAAAAAAAGUCUGACAAAGUAUGAUGUACAUUGAAAAUGAAAAGAAACCAUUCUAUUCUUCGUGAAGUUAGACCUGGAUAGCUAUGUAUAGCUCUGCUCUCUGCAAUUUAAGAGAAAUAAUCUGGAAAUGCAGAAGAAAUAGGGAAAAGCACUUGUAACGUGCAGUUUUAUGUGUCAACUUGGGUAGGCCAUAAUACCCAGUUAUUUAGUCAAACACUAAUCUAGGUGCAGCUGUGAAGGCACUUUGUAGACGUGUUUAACAUCUAAAAUAAGCUCACAUUAAGUAAGAGAUUAUCCUCAAUAAUGUGGGUGGGCCUCACUGAAUCAAUUGGAAGUCCUGAGAGCAAAAACUGAGGUUUGCCAGGGAAGAAGAAAUUUGACCUCAAAACUGCAACAUAGAAAUCCUGACUAAGCUUCCAGGCUGCUGGCUUGCCCUACAAAUUUCAGAUAUACCAGGCCCCAAUCUUACGAACCAAUUUCUUAAAAUAAAUCAUGUAUGCGUAUUCGUUAAUAUACACACUCAUAUAAAGAACACACAUAUGUGUACAUAUAUGUAUAUGUGUGUGUAUGUUCUAUUGGUUUCGUUUCUCUUGAGAGCCCUCGCUGAUAGAGAUUUUAGUACCAAGAAGUAGGGUGCUAUUGUGUAAAUAAAUAAAUAAAUAAAUAAAAAUAUGGAAGUAGCUUUGGAACUGAAUAAUGGAUAGAGGCUGGAAGAGUUUUUAGGUGCAUGAUAGAAAAAUCUUAGAUUGCUUUGAAGAGAUUCUAAUAGAAAUGUCAGAGGCGUUUGAACCAGAGCAACUCCAUCUUUAACAGGGGCUGGGUAAAAUGAGGCUGAGACCUACUGCGCUGCAUUCCCAGGAGGUUAGACAUUCUAAGUCACAGAAUGAGACAGGAGGUUGGCACAAGAUACAGGUCACAAAGACCUUGCUGAUGAAACAACUUCCAAUAAAGAAGCUGGCCAAAACCCACCAAAACCAAGAUGGUGACAAAAGUGACCUCUGGUGGUCCUCACUGCUCAUUAUACGCUAAUUAUAAUAUAUUAGCUUGCUAAAAGACACCCUCACCAGUGCCAUGACAAUUUACAGAUGCCAUGACAACAUCAGGAAGUUACCCUAUAUGGCCGAAAAGGGGAAGGAACCCCCAGUUCCAGGAAUUGCCCACCCCUUUCCCA